rnacentral:misc_RNA from 1 species
GAAAUGCGAUAAGUAAUGUGAAUUGCAGAAUUCAGUGAAUCAUCGAAUCUUUGAACGCACAUUGCGCCCGUCAGCAUUCUGGCGGGCAUGCCUGUUCGAGCGUCAUUUCAACCCUCAGGACCCCCUUUCGCGGGGAGGGACCUGGCGUUGGGGAUCGGCCCGCCCCCCGUGGCGGCGCCGUCCCCGAAAUCUAGUGGCGGUCUCGCUGCAGCCUCCCCUGCGUAGUAGUUACAACCUCGCAUCGGAGCGCGGCGCGGCCACGCCGUAAAACCCCCGACUUUCUGAACGUUGACCUCGGAUCAGGUAGGAAUACCCGCUGAACUUAAGC